rnacentral:rRNA from 1 species
AUUGAACGCUGGCGGCAGGCUUAACACAUGCAAGUCGAGCGGGGUGAUGGUGCUUGCACUAUCACUUAGCGGCGGACGGGUGAGUAAUGCUUAGGAAUCUGCCUAUUAGUGGGGGACAACAUCUCGAAAGGGAUGCUAAUACCGCAUACGUCCUACGGGAGAAAGCAGGGGAUCACUUGUGACCUUGCGCUAAUAGAUGAGCCUAAGUCGGAUUAGCUAGUUGGUGGGGUAAAGGCCUACCAAGGCGACGAUCUGUAGCGGGUCUGAGAGGAUGAUCCGCCCCACUGGGACCGAGACACGGCCCAGACUCCUGCGGGAGGCAGCAGUGGGGAAUAUUGGACAAUGGGGGGGACCCUGAUCCAGCCAUGCCGCGUGUGUGAAGAAGGCCUUAUGGUUGUAAAGCACUUUAAGCGAGGAGGAGGCUCUUUUGGUUAAUACCCAGAAUGAGUGGACGUUACUCGCAGAAUAAGCACCGGCUAACUCUGUGCCAGCCGCCGCAGUAAUAC